rnacentral:sRNA from 2 species
GUGAUGAACGAGUAGCUAAUGCCAUGGAAUCCGUACUUGCGUAGCCAGUUCUUUUUGGCAUUUUCAGGACUGAUAGGGUACGUCUUGACGUAGUCCGGCAUUGACUGGUGGAAGGUGGAGUCAAAAUAUGCCACCGUUUUCGCCAUUGGGAUUUCAUUGAGACAGGUGUCGAUUAUAUCCAGUGCGACAGUAUUGUGCCUGUUUGAUUUCCCAUGGUUAGCAUGGCCAUUUUUCUUUAAUAUGGACAAGUUAGUAGAGGUAGGUUAAAUCUAUCUCAUGUAUCCAUUUAUCUCCUCAGACAUACAACGGCGCAAGCUCCUUCAAUGCCUGCAAAUAAUUAUAUGCACCCGCCGUUAAAACAGCUUCCUUUUCGAAGUCACCUCCGUGCACGACUCGAUGGCAUAUAUAUGCGAAGUCAUCCUUACUGGCAACCUCUUGCAGGUCCGGGUCGUUCAAGAAGUGGUGCAGAAGAUACUUGAACGCCUCUUGAGGGCUUGAGAUGCGCCCCUGGAUCUCCUCUUUCUUCUCCUUGUUAAGUCCUUGAGAAUGCUUGAAAAUGCAUGGAGGUGUGGUAAUUCCUGCGACCUGCGCCCAGGCGAGUUUUAUCGGCGGUUUCUCUGCUUUGUAGAUGGAGACUUUGACGGAUGAGGACCCAGCAUUUAUCGAGAGGAUUGAUUGGGCCAUAAUUGAGGUCGUUAUGCACGAAACAUGAAUCUAUGUAAUGGUCACACUAAACUCAUGGAGAAUCACCAUUUAUCCAGCUUUAUUGCUAAUUUACACUCUAUCCCGGUGCCUCAGGUGAUUUUUUGAUUUAAUUUCCGCCUAUUUCAUUCUUAUCCGACUCCCUGGUUAAAGCUAUGACAUACACGAACCGGUUUUUGGGAGCCAACCUCUAGUGACGUAGCCAGCAUGGCUUUUUAUCAACGACGCAAAUGUAUACCUAGAAACUAGGAUAAAUAAAAACUGUCGGUGUUCAAACGAGCGUGGGAAUUGCUCAUUAAUUUCGAUGUGUCCUACGUCCGGAAAUAGCUACAAUUAAUCUAUA